UUUUGAAUCCAACUGUUGUGUGACCACAGAGUACGCACAGAGACUCAAUUGUAGCAGCAGAGACCACAGAUUACGUGGUGCAGACGGAUAGUGAGAAAAAGGGUACAGAUUCAGGGGACAUUAUGGGGUAGGGAUGCGUGGUGGUUACAAACGGGAUAUUUCGAAAGUGCAAUGAAGGGCAAACUCAAUGAAAAGGAUAAUCCAGCCAAUGUUCACCUGAUAGAUAAGUUAAUUACUGGGAAUAAGAAUAAUCAUUGAAUUUGAUCGAGGCUUUUGAAGGUUUCUUCUAAUUUGUUGUAUCAAACAAAUUCUGAAACAAUAAUUCAGAGGAGGAUCCUGACAAGUCAUCUAAUUCGACUAUAAUAACAUGAUUGGAUUUUAGUUUCUUCUCUUUUUAUAUUCAAUAAAGAAAGCCUACUCUGGAAUUUGAGGAGUCACUCCAGGUUUAUUGACUAUUUAGAAAAAGGCUUAUUGACUAAGUAGUUCUAUUCAAGAAAAAAUAUUUCAGUUAUCAUUCAAAAAUAUUAGUGUAAGUUGAUUGAUAGGCAUUUUAUCUCACAAUGUUAAGUGUGAUUUCAAUAAAAAUCAUCACCCAUUAACAA